rnacentral:rRNA from 1 species
GACGAACGCUGGCGGCGUGCUUAACACAUGCAAGUCGAACGGAAAGGCCCUGCUUUUGUGGGGUGCUCGAGUGGCGAACGGGUGAGUAACACGUGAGUAACCUGCCCUUGACUUUGGGAUAACUUCAGGAAACUGGGGCUAAUACCGGAUAGGAGCUCCUGCUGCAUGGUGGGGGUUGGAAAGUUUCGGCGGUUGGGGAUGGACUCGCGGCUUAUCAGCUUGUUGGUGGGGUAGUGGCUUACCAAGGCUUUGACGGGUAGCCGGCCUGAGAGGGUGACCGGCCACAUUGGGACUGAGAUACGGCCCAGACUCCUACGGGAGGCAGCGGUGGGGAAUAUUGCACAAUGGGCGGAAGCCUGAUGCAGCAACGCCGCGUGCGGGAUGACGGCCUGCGGGUUGUAAACCGCUUUCGCCUGUGACGAAGCGUGAGUGACGGUAAUGGGUAAAGAAGCACCGGCUAACUACGUG